GCAAAACUAUAUUGCGGUGUGAGGGGGGAAUGUUGAUGUUGUCUUUCCGUCCAUGUAGAUGUUUGGAGACCUCGGAUUUAUCCUUCUCCUCAGUUCACAUUCAGCACUGGUGCAGUGGAUGAACAAACACCCGACACUGCAGAAACACCAUCCCUUUUGUUUACUAGGGCCACAACGUGAAUGGAAGUCACCUUCUCUUAUUGAAAAUGAGGUUUUAUAUUAAGUAGUAUGUGAGGGAGCUGUGGCACCUUCCACGCCCACAACUUGAGUUUUCCAGAAGGGGCAAUCCAUUUCCCUCUCUUUUCUCAGUCAGAAAUAAGCUACAUCAGUAUUGGGAGGACUCAACAAAAUAAGGUUUGGGAGACAAAUCUUUUUUUAGUACUCUACCUGGAGUGGCACAAUGGGUUAAACUCUUGUGUUGACAGGAUUACUAACCGAAAGGUCCGGGGAACAGGGUGAGCUUUCAUCUGUCAGCUCCCCAUGCGGGGACAUGAGAGAAGCCUCCCACAGGAUGGUAAAACAUCAAACAUCCGUGCAUCCUCUGGGCAACGUCCUUGCAGGCGGACAAUUUUUUCACACCAGAAGAGGCUUGCAGUCGCUCCUGACACAGAAAAAAAAAGUACUCUACCAGUUAUGACCAAAAAGAGGCAGCAUAAGAAUAUUUUGAGGACUGUUCUCUUUUUUAUUUCCCUUAAAAGCAAACACUAUCUUAAUGCUAAACCCAAAUUGCCUUUGCUUCCAAGUCUUUCCUCUCUAUUUUCAGGCCCAUCUUUAAUUAUUUUCAACCAGCAAGAGACUAUGUCCCCAAUUUAUCUAUUUGCAGCUGUUAAAAAAAGAAAAAGAAAAAGGCAAGGAAAAAAACCCCUCUGGAAUUAUUCCUACAAACAGAACAAGCCACAAAAGAUGCUCCUGCUGGGGCUUUAAAUGAAAGCUCUCUCCUCGUUGCUGGAGGCAGUCCUCUCUCCCGCCACUUUGCAAGGCUUGUGUAACCUCAAAGCUCUGACUCACUGCGUUUGUCCUCAGAGGAGCUGAUUACCAACUGCCAGCAGGCUGCCUGUUAAGGUUUGUAACAAGGAGGCCAGGACCUCGCCAAGACAUCCUCCUCCACAGCUGUCUAGACAGUCUGUGGUGUUGGAGGAAAAUCCUGAGAGUGCCUUGGACCGCAAGAAGAUCCAACCAGUCCAUCCUCCAGGAAAUUAUGCCCGGCUGCUCAGUGGAGGGAAGGAUAAUAGAGGCAAAGAUGAAGUACUUUGGCCACAUCAUGAGAAGACAGGAAAGCUUGGAAAAGAUCAUGAUGCUGGGGAAAAUGGAAGAAAAAAGGAAAAGAGGCCAACCAAGGGCAAGAUGGAUGGAUGGUAUCCUUGAAGUGGCUGGCUUGUCCUUGAAGGAGCUGGGGGUGGCGAUGGUUGACAGGGAGCUUUGGCAUGGGCUGGUCCAUGAGGUCACAAAGAGUCGGAAGUGACCGAACAAAUAAACAACAACAGACAGUAUGUUCCUAUUGAUGCAGCCUAGAAUGAUGUUGGUGUUUUUAGCCACUUGGCAGUUUCCACUGGAGAAAAAAGAUGCAGAAUUGUAUGGGGAGACCUACCCUUGGAUGUUAGAUCUUGGCCAAUGAAUGUAAAAUGACCAAACAUAAGAAAAUCACUUGCAAGUACCUUUUGCCUUCAUUUACUGUCACUCUACCCCAGCAAGUGUUGGGAUAUCAGCGGAGGUUACACUUCGUGCAUUUCACAAAGGGAGCUAGAGUUCACAAAAGUUUAUGUCAAGUUAAACUUGUUAAGUCUUUUCAGGUGCUACCAGACUAUUAUUAUUUUUGCUGCACAGAAGAUUAUAAAAUGAUGUUGUCUUGUCAGAUUAAGGAUCCAUAAUUAGAAAUAGGAGGCAUGGCACUGAAAUGCGUAGUGUUUGCUUGGAAGUAGGAAAAUGCACUGUGAACAAGGAACAUAACUUUAUGAGCUGGCUAGCAGUUAUGUUUCUUGUAUGUCAAAAAUAUUUAAGUUAAUUGUCAAGGUACAUGUGAGUGAAUUUUAAAGCUGGCUUGCAUUUGACAAAAUUGAGUAACAGGGAAUUCUUACAGCUGUUUAUUUCAGCUCUUCUUUAAAGCACUAUGUUCCAGAAACAAAGGGGGGGGGGGGAGGAGGAAGGAAGGAAAAAGCACCUACUUAAAAUUACUUUCUUUUAGUGGCUGAGUUCCAGUGAUUUACAGCACUUUUUAUUUCUAGAAUUCCUACAAGAGAAUCUCCAUUAACACAACUAAAAUUUGUAAUAAAGCACAAUGUACAUGAGGCAACCCUCUUUUGUGCCUUUGUUGCAGUGAUUACUGAUGAACUUUUACAUCAAAGAAGCACAGUCCAAAAUCAAAGACCAAUUCCCGUUUCUUCCACUGUUGUUCUUCAGGAUUUCGUUUAAUGAAUGCAAAAGGUUACAUCUACAAUGAAAAAUAUGUUACUGUCAUUUUUUUCUAUAGAAAAUUGUGAGGAUGCAAUUGGAGAAUCUUCAGUUGUGAUGUGUACUUGGAAGUGAAAUUCUUUUGAAUCUGUAAUUGGAUAGAAACAUAGAAUAAUAAAAUCUUUAGAGUUAGAAAGGGCAGAAAGGGCUGUCUAGUCCAACCACUGACCAUGCAGGAAUAGGGAAUUACAGGAAUCCUGAAAGAUGACCUCCAAGUUUCUGUUCCAAAGAAGGAAAUUCCUUUGCCCACUGAGGUAGUCUGUUCCACUGCAGAAUAAAGAUGGGAAACAGUUUAUCAUCGUCACUCGCUAUGACCACCAUGUAACCAAUUGGUAUGUGAUAUCAUGUCUACUUUCCUAUCAAAUGGCAGAGAUUUCUUUUGCCUUUAAUUCAUUAUUUCCGGAUACAAUGAACACAUUGAAUUGAUUGUUCCAUGGUUAGUCAAUACUUAUAUAAGACCUAUUGAUUCAGCGAGUCUACUGUAGUUGGGGCUAACAGUAGGAUUUAAGACAAUUUCAGAUACAGAUUUGAGACAAAGGGGACGUCGGUCUUUUACUCCCAAGAAAAGAUAGUUUGAGCCAGAGUGGUGAUUUCCUCAUUAAAUCCCCAUGGAAAAUAAAGUGAUCCAUAAGGCCAGUAGUCAUGCUGACCCUAUGGAAUCAGGAGUGGGAGGCACAAACAGGAGUGGGAGGCACUAUUGCCCUUCUGGUAGUGGAUGUCUCAUUGGUAUUGGACAACCACUGUGGAAACAGAAUGUCUCACUGAUUAUCCACAAGGGUUUUUCUUUUGUUCUCUCAAUGGUAGUCCCCAGAGAUCGUUAGUUUUGAGAGUAAUUGCUGAGCUGCUGACCUUGGUGACUGAAAGAUCAGUGGUUUGAAUCCAGGGAGCGGGGUGAGCUUUCACUGUUAGCCCCAGCUUCUACCAACCUAACAGUUUGAAAGUAUGCAAACAUUAGUAGAUCAGUAGGUGCCGCUCCGGCGGGAAGGUAACAAUGCUCCAUGCCAUCAUGCCAAUCACAUGACCUUGGAAGUGUCUAUGGAAAAUGCCGGCUCUUCGACUUAGAAAUGGAGACGAGCUCCAACCCCCCAGAGUCAGACACAACUAGACUUAAUAUCGGGGGAAAACCUUUACCUUUACUUUAAUUGCCAGUUGGCAUAUAUUUCACCUGGAAAUGCAUCUCUUGGUGAUAUAGACCCAAAUGUGAGAUCUUUUUCUUCAUGGAGGAGAGUGUUUUUCCUUCCUAUCCAGAUAAUGGGACAAGUCAAAAUAACAUUAUGUAUCUUAGUAAUUGAAGAAAGAGCAUGGUGUUGCACUUUGAGCAUUGGAUUGCAGCUCUGGUGACCCUGCUUGGGCAAGGAAAGCCAGUGAGUCAUCUUGGGCCAAUCACACUCUCUCAGGCUCAAAGGAAGGCAACCACAAACCCCUCUGAAUAAACCUUUCCAGGAAAAAUGCAUGAUAAGUUUGCCUUAGAGUUACCAUAAGUUGUAAAUCAUUUGAAGGUACAAUGCCACAACUGUAACAAUUUCUUGCUCCAUUUGACAUGAUCUAGCCAAAGCUUUGAAAUGGGAUUUCAGAGUUUUUUUUCUAGUUUAUGCCCAAAUGUUUUCAUGAAAAGCUGUGAGCUUGGCUCUGUUGUGAACUGGUUGAACAAAGCUGCACUAUUUUUGUGUAUGCUUCUUUCAUUUUUUUGUACAGAUGGGUAGAAUUUUUCAAAAGUAUAUGUCAAGGAAGAAAAGAGAGCAGGAAGAAGGAAGCCGGCAAUGAUGCACUUGUUUUGCAAGGAAAAACUUUAGAGAGAACCUUGCAGAAUAUGAACUGCCAAGCUAGAGUAAUAUUUUACCUAAGAAAAUUGUCUUUGUGGAAGCCAGAUCUGAGAUCUUUCAAGACAGGACAUGACAUUUCUGUAUUCUAUACAUCCCAGGGAUAUUACACUUGAUUGCCAUUUCUGAGCCUGGUUAAACUGGAUGGGAAAUGCUUGUAUUACUCAGCAUGAAUAAGUGGCAGAUGAAAAAGAUCUAUUGGAUCUGACAGCUCCUGCUGUGCUCAGUUUUGGCUACUGGCAUUGACCCUGAGACAUCCCAGCUGAAAUAUCUCUAUUGAAGUAAGUGAAUUAGGAACCUAUGCAAUUUUUCUUGUCUUUUUUUGUCAUUAAUAUAAACAAUAGGGAAAUGACACAAAUGUCUAUGAACCAGGCAAAGCAAUAUUAUAAGCUGGCUGCCCUUUAGAGCAUUAUCAAUUAAUUACUACACUAAUCUGUAAUGUCUGGGUCUCGUUCUUCAAAAUGUUGCCAUUUCUAAAACAAUGUCCUAAUAGGUCUAGGCCAGCUGAGAAACAACAGCCACAUGCUCUUUCUGUUGGGACGGGAGAGUAGAAAAUGAUUGGACACAAAGACCAUAUCUUCCAUUGUAUAAAUGAUUUGAUAUUGUUUUAAAUUAUUUGAUGCUUUAAUACAAUAGUUUGGCAUUUUAAAAACUUUUCUUAUUAGGUUUUAGUCUGCAUAUUUGUUUUAAUUUAUGUUAGGUGCCACCAUGGGUUCUAUUCAGGAGAGAAUUGGGAUAUAAAUUAAAUUACUAUAUAUACUUUUUAUAAUCAGCCUCAUGUAUAUGUUGAUGUUAGACUUAUGGAUUUUGAUAUGACUCAUGGAUAGGUCCAGGGUCAUUCCACAGAUGGGAAAAGCACCAGUCCUUUGAGAAGAAGCACCAAAGAGCUAUCAUGGUCACCAUUUUCCUGCCCAGGCAUUGAAAAGGGCAAGAAGCAUCAUUGUGGUGGAGAGAAGAGAGGGAUGUACUUCUUUUAGAUUCUCCAAAUACAGACUAAGCUCUUGCAUUUCACCACUCUACUCAGAGAGAAUAAAUGGGUCCUUUUCUUGAUAAGAGUUAAUGAGCAGUAUUUAAUUGACCUAUGGGUAAGAUGACCCAUUUUGGCUGAUUUUCAUCUAAUAUUUCUAAACUUAUACAUGAGUAUAUAAAUUAAAUAAAAUUAAAUUCAAAAGCAGAUGAAAGGCCCUCCCUCCACCCCAAAUGCCACUGUCCUGGCCUUGGACUUAAUCCCCUCCCGCACUGCCAUCCCCCUUUUUUUCUUUUGUAUCAUGUCCUAAUUACAUUGCAAACUGAGGGUAGGGAACUAUUUUGUAGUUCUUUUACUUGUAAAGCAAGGAACCAUGUACAGUGAUGACUCUAUGUACAUUGAUAAUGAUGGUGACUGUAAAUAAAUUAAAAAGGAUAAACACACAUCUAUUUAUACAAUAUAAGCUGAUUGUAGCAGACCUUAGAAAUCCCCAUCUCAACUUCUUUGAGAAUGUCAGCUUGCUUGACCUGUUUCUAUUCAUGGCAUCUUGUUAGAAAGGUCUUUGGCACCCUGAACUAUUGCCUAUUCUUCUCCUACCUCUCCUUUGAGCCUCAGGACUAGGCCAAAUUUGGUCUGGGAUCUUGUUACUCAGAGUCUCAUUCUUUGUGGCCUUCUCAGACACCUUGCUCUUAUAUUGAGGUAAGAAAAUGCAUUUUGAGGUUAGUGCCAAACGUCUCUCUAGAGAGAUGACAAAAAUGUGUAUGACACAAGCAGCUUAUGGGGCCAAGAGUCAAGGCAGUUUGUGUUGGCUGCGGAUGAACUAUUUGCAUUCUCUAUAUACCAAGAAACAAGAGAGUGCUCUGUGAGUCCUGUUGGUUUGUGUCAACUUGAGCAGACAUUGGGCCCUUCUACACAGCUGAAUAAAAUCCCAAAUUAUCUGCUUUGAACUAGAAUAUCUGGCAGUGUGGACUCAAAUAGCCCAGUUCAAAGUAGAUAGUGUGGGAUUUUCUGCCUUGCUAUUCUGGGUUAUAUGACUGUUUGAAAGGGCCCAUAGGUCCCUUCUACACUGUCCUAAAUCCCAGGAUUUGAUCCCCAAUUGUCCGCUUUAAACUGGAUUAUAUGAGUCUCCACUGCUGGAUAAUCUGGGAGAAGCAAGUAAUCUAGGAUGUAGAAGGGGACUAAGUGUGAACCCUAGUUUGGUGUUGGGGAGGGGGAUAUAUUGCUGAGUUUACCUUGGAAACAUGAAACCCUCAACAAUAGCAAACUCAGGUGAAAUGAACAACAAAAUAUAUCAUCUAGGAAUUUGCUAGGUCAAUUAUUCUGUAGAAUUAAUGAAGUCCAACAUCACUUUAACUGUCAUGGCUCAAUACUAUGGAUUCCUAAAAUCUACACUGCAGAAUCAACUGCAUAUAUUCUGCAGUGUAGAUUUUUCUUGAAUGUGUCCUCAGGAGGGAAGCUCCUGCUGUACUGACUGUGACUGUUUUUAAUAGCUUAGUCCAUGAGCAGCAAAAUGUUCAUUUACCAUAGUCAGGCCCGGUCCAACCGCCAGGUGAGGGAAACAUUUGCCUGUGGCGCCAUCAUCCAGUGGGCGCUGUCGAGGCCCCGGGAUGAUGGUGCCACCCCGCCUCCUUCUCCUCCUUUCCAGGCCUUCCUGUAGGGGAGGCCACAUGGUGUGGGGUGUGUGGCCAUGUGGGGGACGUGCGGUGCAGGGGCGGGGCUGUGCUGGGGCGGGGCCAGGCUGCACGGCGGGAAGGCCCAGCCAGGCCACGGUGGGAAGGCCUGGCCCCACCUCCUGUGUCGCGUGGCCCUGCCCUACUGCCCACGCCACCCGUGCCACGGGGGGGGGGGGGGGAGUGCCAAAAAGUACCUUUGCCUACUAAGGAAAAUUACCUCAGGAUGGCUCUGACCAUAGUCCAGUUAUAUUUCUUUGAAUGAGACUUAUUUCUGAGUAAACAAACUUACACUCACAAUUCUGCACUUAAUCCUUUAUUUUAUGGUUUAGAUUGGAGACGUAAACAUUUUCAGUAUGUGCAUCACUGUAGUUAGGGUUGAGGAGACUUUAAUUGGAAUUCUUGCUCUACCUAACCUGCCUCAAAGGUUUGUUGUGAAUAAAAUUGAAGGGAAAACUAUAUGUGAAGCCUUGAGACUUCCUGAAGAGAUAAACGUAAUGCAUUUAACAAUAGUUUCAAAGAGCUGUUGUUGCUAAAUGCUCUCCAAAUACUUUCUGUAGUUUAUUUAUUUAUUAUUCAAACUUAUAUGCCGCCACUCCCCUAGGGCUCGAGAUCAAAAGCCUGCUGAAACAGGUGUACUGGAUACUCCUACAUUAACUGUUUUUCCAAAGAUUGAUUGAGCUGCUCAUGAUUUUUCUGGUUUAUUGGUGGAAAGAACGGGUAUGCCUGAUAUUCCCUGGCUCAUUUGUGGUCAUCUCAAAAAAGUACAGCAGGGGGAGCCAGUUGACCGUUCUGAAAGAUUGUUUGAGCCAAAAUACAGCAAGUGGCUGUUUCAUGUCUGCUUUAGAUUUUGAUGCAUGUGUAUUCAUCUCUCUGCCCCACUAUCACUCUGAUAGUGGACACUCUUGAGUGUUAUUCAAGCAUAUUGAAUUGUGGAGUCUACCCCCUGUGCUAAGUUGAAAAGCUGCAAAGAGACUUGUCACUCAUGUUGGUAUUAACAGUGUGUAUCAGCAACUCUGAACCUCAGGGUUUUGCACAGCCAGAUUUCAUAAGCUCUGUGCACAAUAUGUCCACAAUCUUUCUUUAGAAGCAAAAAAGUGGUAACUAACAGUGUCACCCAUCUACUUGGGGUCAUGAUUGUUGGAGUGCAUCCUGCAAUGGCAGAUGGCUAGAAUUUAGUACACCUUUGGCCCCAAACCGAUGACUAGCAACAUUUUCUUCACCAUCUGCUUAGCGGCUUCCAGGUGGAGGGAUGAUCAAGAUAGCAGAUAAAAGGCCCCUCUUCCUCUGGAUUUCUGCAGUAAGAAAAAAAGAUCAAAGAAGCAAUGGGUGGGAUAUGAGAGAUUACAAAAUAAAAGAUUGCAAGUAGUGACUGUGAUUAGCUGAACUGCAACAUCAACAAGUGAUGUGAUGAAAGUGGGUGGCCUCACCCAUUGGGAAUUGCUCUUCAUUCCUUGUGAUGUUAAGAUGCCUCUGUCUGUGGGCAUCCUGUCCAGUCUCCAGAAGUACUUGUCCAGUCUCCAGCAGUACUAUCAUUGUUCAUCUCCAUUGAGAUAUCAUUGGUUAUCUUAAGGUAAAUGAACUGAAGGAAAUCUGGGGCCAUUUUAAAACUGAGAGCUGAAUUCAGUUUCAGAAAAGCCUUGGGUAGAACUAAAAGCAAAAAUUCUCUGCUGGUAAGUAAGUAUGUUUUUAGAAUGGAGUAUAACCCACACUGCAAUUAAGAAAUCCAAAGGGCUGUAGACAUUUGGAGAAGCCCAGAGAGAAGGUUUGACCAUAAAGCCUGGGGUUUCAAAUGGUUCAGAGUCAACAGGCCUGCCUGAUUUUGCUCCUUCUUUCUCUGCACCCCUUCCCCAAAUAUUCAUCCUCGACUCAAUUACCCAUAGAAACUGUUGGAGAAAGGGUUAUGUUUACAGGGCAGAACAAGAGAAGUGGAAGCUUUCCUUUCAUCUGUUCCUUCUCUCCACUUACCCUAGAAGCCACAUCCCCAGAGCCUUAGCUUAAAAUAGUGGGUUUUCAUUCCCCACCCUAUAUGUGUGCAUGUGUUUUCUGUUUCAGAUAUGUUGUUGAUGUUGAUGUUGCUGUCAUUGUCUGGCAGUAAACUAUCACUGUAACAGGAGUAAUAUCGACAAAGUAUUGUUAAGGUAUCUGAGAUCUCUUAUACUUGUAAAAUAAAAUAAUGCUGUUGCAGAUCAGCAGGUUUUAUUGGUUCUGAUGGUGUCUCACUGAAAAAAUAAUUGAUAAUUUCUCAUUGAAAAGUGUUUCUGUCAAUUGCCCCAUUUUCUUUUUCAGUAUUUUUUUUUGGAGGAGGGAGUGUUUUAAGAUUGAUUUCUUAUAUUCCUUUUUUGUUUUCUGAAAUGGUGGUACAGUAGAGUCUCACUUAUCCAACACUCACUUAUCCAACGUUCUGGAUUAUCCAAUGCAUUUUUGUAGUCAAUGUUUUCAAUAUAUCGUGAUAUUUUGGUGCUAAAUUAGUAAAUAAAGUAAUUACUACAUAGCAUUAAUGUGUAAUGAACUACUUUUUCUGUCAAAUUUGUUGUAUAACAUGAUGUUUUGGUGCUUAAUUUGUAAAAUCAUAACCUAUUUUGAUGUUUAAUAGGCUUUUUCUUAAUCUCUCCUUAUUAUCCAACAUAUUCACUUAUCCAACAUUCUGCCGGCCUGUUUAUAUUGGAUAAGUGAGACUCUACUGUAUUUACAGUAGAUGGACAGAGAAAAGAAAACCCAGAAAUGUAUGCAAGAAGCCAUCCCCAGCAAACAAAACAAAAUAAAUAAAUGAUAUCAAUAUAUUGAGUAGAGGGGGAAAUGUAUUUAUUAAUGAAAUGGUACCUGCAAGAUCUCUUAACAAUGUUACACAAAUGGCUGUGAGCCAUUGGUUGCUGAUCUGUGGUGAAUUUCCAGAAAAUGAAGUGAACACAGAAAAAUUACAGCACAAAUAUGGUGCCAGUCAAUGGUACAUUGGGCUAAAAAUGCCAGCCCACCAUAUCAGAUAGCUUGAAAAGCACUGAUCUACUGUACUGUGAAUGAAGAAAACAGAUUCUCAAAAAUGAAUGUAUGAACUCAUGUUCUCUGCUAUUGCUCCCUUACCCUUUGUUUAUAGGGCAUUUUUUCUUGUCUUUCUAAUAAAAACUGACCUUACAUAUACCCAUAGUUUAUUUUAUGCAAGAAAUCAUCCUGGCAAAUGACCCUAAGCCUUCCGUAGAAAGACAAAAACUUCAGUUGAAUGUAGAAGUGUGUGUGCCAUAUUGGACACAAUCUUUUAAAAAGUGUCUAAGACUAUAUACAGUAUUGAAUUCAGUUGCAAAGACUGUGCAUCAAUCAGGUGGAAUGUAAUCCAGAAUGCAAUGUAGAAUGGCAGCUGUCAAGCCUUGGGAGGGUUACUGGUGGGGAGCAGGGAGGGGGGGGGGGGAGAAGAAGAGAAGCAAUUGAUAUGAAGCAGCAGCAGCAAGUCUCAGCUUGGAGGCAAGGGAAAAAAAGAGUGUGCUCAUAUAUGGACUACAUCUUCUUUUCCACCCUCUUUGCGUCUAGACCAGCUUACAUUCUUUCUCCGAACUGCUUCCUUGUCUCACUUUAAGGCUUGACUACUAAUCGAGGGAGAAAGUUUUGGAUCAAGAACAAUGGCUUAUAGAAGAAGCCUCUGGAGCCCACCUAAAAAGAGACACACGUACAUGUAAGCCCAAGUAUACAUGUCAUUAACAUGAUCCUCAAUGGGACAUCUGAGAAAAUGUAAACAAGAAUGCCCCAUUACAGAUUUUGAGGUGUAAACAAGUAUAUGAGACAGAGGCCAGGAGGGAAACCUACUGAGAACCCAUGUGGAGGAGAGAAAAAAGUCUACAGCAGGUAUCACUAUUUCUAUUUCUCCAUGGAUGUUCUAAAUGGUUUUUCUUUUCUUAAAGGAAAAAUUGCACCAGAUAUUAAAGUGCACAUAUAUCAACAAAUGGCAUUUAUAAUCUUACAAAGAGAGUUGAGUGUUAAUAAUGACCAAGAAGAUGAUGAUAAUGAUGGACAGCUUUGAACUGUAGUAACCUGUUUAAUAAAAUUAUCAUUUAACUAUUAUGGCUCCAUCUUAUGGACUCCUGAGCUUUGUAGUUCACUAAAGCGCAUAGAAUUUUCACUUGAAGGCUUUUAUCUGUAGACCGUAUCUCCUUCCAUAAACCUGCCCGUUCUUUGCGAUCAUCCGGGGAGGCCCUGUUAUCACCAUUGCCUAUAUCCCAGGCCCGCCUUGUAAGUACAAGGGAGAGGGCCUUUUCUGCUGUGGCCCCCCGACUGUGGAACUCACUACCUACUGAAAUUAGGCAAGCUCCCACUCUGUUAGCUUUUAGGAAAGAAUUUAAAACAUGGCUCUUCCGCUGUGCUUUCGGUGAGUAAUUUCUGUUAUAGAUCUCUGUAUUACUCCCCUCCGAAUAUCUAUCCUCUAGAUUACCCCUUCCAAAUGUCCCUGCCCAUAGUGGAGUACUCCUCUGUCCCUCUCACUCCGGGUUUUAUCUCUGUGUUCACGCAGCCUGCCCUUGCUUUAUUGUUUUUUUGAUUUCUUGAUGUUCUGUUUAUUAUUAUUUAUUGUAUUUUGAAUGGUGCUAUGAUAUGUUGUUUUUAUAUCUUAUUAUGUUGUAUAGCUCUGGGCAUGGCCCCAUGUUAGCCGCCCCGAGUCCCCAUCGGGGAGAUGGU